GAUGAACGCUGGCGGCGUGCCUAAUACAUGCAGGUCGAGCGAACAGACGAGGAGCUUGCUCCUCUGACGUUAGCGGCGGACGGGUGAGUAACACGUGGAUAACCUACCUAUAAGACUGGGAUAACUUCGGGAAACCGGAGCUAAUACCGGAUAAUAUAUUGAACCGCAUGGUUCAAUAGUGAAAGACGGUUUUGCUGUCACUUAUAGAUGGAUCCGCGCCGCAUUAGCUAGUUGGUAAGGUAACGGCUUACCAAGGCGACGAUGCGUAGCCGACCUGAGAGGGUGAUCGGCCACACUGGAACUGAGACACGGUCCAGACUCCUACGGGAGGCAGCAGUAGGGAAUCUUCCGCAAUGGGCGAAAGCCUGACGGAGCAACGCCGCGUGAGUGAUGAAGGCCUUCGGAUCGUAAAACUCUGUUAUUAGGGAAGAACAAAUGUGUAAGUAACUAUGCACGUCUUGACGGUACCUAAUCAGAAAGCCACGGCUAACUACGUG
rnacentral:rRNA from 1 species